AAAGGAUGGGGGCGGCCGCAAACAUCGCAAGGCCUACUGGACGACACACAAACACCGACCGUCGGGGUCGGGGCGGCGGCGGCGCAGUCGCCAAGGCAAAGGCCGCAUCGCGCACCACCACAGCGACCCCAUGGCCGCAACCGCAACAACGACACACGCGCCCACGCACAGGUACGACUGCGCGUCGGCAGAGGGCGCCACCGCGAUCACGGUCCACACGCCGAGACACAGGACUGCCACGACGCACAAAAGGCGCAGCGCGCGACAUUGGUGCCAUCGUCGCGGCGCCAGCCCGGCCUCGUUGUGGUUGUAGACGUCGGCAUAAAUAUCGGCCGCCGGUGCUUCGACGUCUUCUUCCUCGGCGCACGACCUCUGCCUCAUGGGUUGGUGGUGCGCGAUCGUCCCUUUUUUUUCCCUAUAGGGUCGCCUCUUAAAGUCGCGCACGGCCUUGGGCGGCGCACGCGGCUCGGCGCCAAAAUGUUGCCGCAGAGGGGGAGCGCAAGAAAAAAAGCGACCUCGACGGCCGUGCAGGCGCACCCUAGAGGAGGCAACAGUGCCGAGCGGGCACCUCUCUGUUUUGUCGCCUUUUCUAUGCGCGCACUGUGUCUUGCGCAACGCCGACCUCGUAAACAAUGCAAAUGUUCUUCCCGUC
rnacentral:lncRNA from 1 species